GAAACGCGAUAUUUAGUGCGAAUUGCAGAAUUCAGUGAAUCAUCAAAAUUUUGAACGCAAGUUGCGCUCUUGGGAUAUUCCUGGGAGCAUGCCUCUUUCAGUGUCGGUCUUCAAUACAAACAUCUCUGAUGAUUGUGUCUUGCGCUCCGCACGAACGCUCGUCGUUCUGCGCUGUGUCGAAUUCCACGCACUGCCGGCGGGCCGACCUUUUUGCAAAGACGACUCGAGUUACAAGGACAGUUUACUGUUCAAAUGUGCUUGGUCGACUACGAAACGCGAAAAUGUGUCCUCGCCACUACAGCAGAGUCAGUUCCGUCCAGGAGUACUUCAAUGCACUCGGCGACAACACCGAACAACAAUGACCUGAAAGAGGUAAGAUUACCCGCUUGACUUAA
rnacentral:misc_RNA from 1 species